rnacentral:lncRNA from 1 species
AAGCACUGUAUGCUAACAUACCCUGAAAGUGUUUCUACAUUGUACUUAGAACAAACUGCCUCAGUGUUUUACUGCAGUAUUCUCUUUGACAGUUCCUCUGUAUGUGGAAGACACGUCUUCACGUCUUUGAGCAUAGAAGAGGCUAACAGCAUCAGUAUUGAUAAUGUUAUCAUGUUGGCUGCGGAUAUCACUGUCUCUCUUCCAUGCCUGAGCUAAUCAACUGGAAACAAAUCUUGGUGGACAAGUUCUCUAAGAUCCAUGUGAUGGAGCCCCACAUCUCAUACCUGCAGCACAUGUUUCAGGACAUGCACGCAACACUCCGCUCAUAUGGAUUACAUUGUGCAACUGGGGCUCUUCCCCUGGUCAGGCAGCCAGUGGCAACGGGGGAACCUGAAAGCCAUGCUCCAAACUUGCAAAGCACCAUAUGAGACAUAAAGUUGGCAGCAAUUUCCUGAAUGUUCCUCAUGCCACAUUAUAACCACUGCAGACCAG